rnacentral:lncRNA from 1 species
UGAGCCUACACAGCAAGCAUUUCACUUAUUGAGCCAUUUCUUCAGGCUCCUAAAGUCAUUUUUGUAGGUUUUUAUAUUUUAUUAAUUUAUCCAGAUUGGCUUCUUUAUUGUAAGAUUUGUUUAUUUUUAUGAGUAUUUUGAUCGCAUGUAUGCAUGUGUACCAUGUAUAUACCUGGAGCUUACAGAUGCUAGAAGAUGUUGUCAGGUGUCCUGGGACUAGAGGUACAGAUGGUUUUGAGGUGUCAUGUGAGUGCUAGGAACCAAACCUUGACUCUUUGCAAGAGCAGCAAAUGUUCUUAACCAUUGAACCAUCUCUCUAGUCCCUGAUUAUGGGAUUCUUUUUAUACAUUUUUAAAGAUAUAUUUACUUAUUUUAUGUAUGAGUACACUAUUGUUCUUUUCAGACAUACCAGAAGAGGGCUUCAGAUCCCAUUACAGAUGGUUGUGAGCCACCAUGUGGUUGCUUGAAAUUGAACUCAGGACCUCUGGAAGAGCAGUCAGUGCUCUUAACUGCUGAGCCAACUCUUCAGCUCCUGAUUAUGAAAUUCUUAAGGGGGAAAACUUCACUCAGGAUCUGAUCUCAUGUUACCUGAUUAGAGAUGGGUCUGGGGUUGCAUAGUCUGAGAAAGUUAAAGUUGCCUGUGUAUUGGGGGAAAAAAAAAGAAGAAAAAUCAAGUCAGGUGCUGUGGCACAUGUCUGUAACCCCAACACACAGAAGGGAAGGAAGAAAGGUCAGGACUUCAAGGCCAUUCUCUACUUCAGAGCAAGUUUGAGACUAGCCUGAGCUAUGUGAGUUCCCAUCUCAAAAUCUGAAAAAGGAAAGAAAACAGGACAGUGUGACUUACAGUGAAUGGGAAUGGUUACCUUGCACAGAUGCGGCAGAAACUUGAAAUUACUUCUUAUGGUUAUUCCAGAGCUGGGAUUCUGUAAGCCUAGGGACCAACCAUAGCCUUUACCUGGUGCUGUUGCUAAUGUUGUGACCUGUUAAACAAAAAGACAUCACACGAGCAGUAGGUGGCAGAUUGGCAUGUAUGAAUUUUAAAAUGGCUUGGUGGCAGGAGCUUCAUGUGUAGACUGUAUUGUUAGGCAGAGCACCUGGCUGCCCAGUAGAUGACCCGGCUGCUGCCUAGAGGUCUCUACCUCAGGGAUGGGAGGCCCUGAGAGCCAUUUUGACCCAAGUUCAAAUUCCCUAGAACAAACAAGCUGAUCUCUUGCUCCAAGCAGCAGUCACAGAGGCUCCAGUGUGUUUAUUGACUCUUGCAUGUCCCUGCCCUGGAGAACAAACAAACAACUCAGCUUGACUCAUCCCCUCCACCAACCUUACCCUGUUUCGUGUCUGGGGUUUGCCAGGAAAAUCCCUUAGACCCUAUGGAAAUAAAAAGAGCCAAAAUUUAUGGGGUUCUGUUCAUAUAUUUGCACUCCUUCCCAAGGAGUACUGGCCCUGCUUUAGGGGAGGGGCGGGAAGAGGGACAGAGCCCAGCAGUGACUUCCCAUUGCUUGGCUCGGGCUCUGUGUGUUGCUUGAGGCAAAUCAGCUUGCUUCACUGAUUCAUUCAUUCAACAAGUUCUGAUUGAAAGCCUACUGUAUGUGAGGCCUUCCCCUCUCCUGACUAGGCUUGCUGGCUCUUGCCAGGCAGAAUGCUGAUGCCUCCUUCAGCCAAACAGAUUGAAGCCUCAAUUUCCUAGGACCCUUAUUAUAAUAGUGCCCCUUUUCUCCCUUAGUACCCAGAAAGGACUUUCUUCCUGAGCCCUAACCAGCUCUUUUAUGAAACUUACCUCUUGGGAUACCCCACGCUGCUUUUACCUAGCCUUGUCUCACAUCUUCUACACGGGGGAAAGCAGCUCAUGCUCCUCUUGGAGCUCAGCUUAUUCCCUUCCCUUCCCUCCAGUAUCUCCCCAGGUUGGAGGAGGUGGAUGACGUCAUCCUCGAAGCACCCACGUUUCAUGGGAUGUGCACAGGAGCUCACUGAAAAUGUAUUGCGCGACCAGGCUUGUGAAGGAAACAACAGUCUACUCGAAAUUGCAGUCUUACCUCGUGGGGCAUCUCAGAGGCUUCAACGCGUUAAUAAACAUUUGAAUCUUGAGAAGGGAGCACAGCGUGUAAUAUUGUUCAAAUUAUCAGGCCCUGCAACACUCAUUAGUUCCUCUUACGCAGCUGGGCACGGUGGUACGUGCCUUUAAUCUCAGUACUCAGGCGGCACUGAUACUGGGAUCUCAGUGACAUCCAGCCUGGUCUCCAGAGCACGUUCCAGGCCACCCAGAUGAGAUGCUCACAGAAAGACCCUGUCUUGACACAAGCAAAUAGUGUUACAUUAGUGUUCCCUAAAAUUCAAGGUAGGGAAUGCUGACGUGGAAUGAAUAUCGGGAAUUAGAAGACCUGGAGCUUUAUCCUCUCUGCUUCUCAUUUUUGUGGUUAAGAAAGUCACUCUACCUCCCCGUCUCUGGGAAAUGAAAUGAUGUGGAGUAAACAAUCCUUUAAGCCUCUUCUGGUUAUGUCCACAGGUAGACCCGGGAUCCUAAGCACCAGAAAUAAAAUCUAAAAUCGAUGUCUGGGUACCCCAUAAAAGACACACAAAUAGUAGAACAAAACAUUUUGCUGGCAUGUGGCUGAAGAACCUGGGUACACACACUUUUCAGGAAGGGAAAGACACAGAAAUAAAAUGUCAGUGUUUCCGACAUAGUUAAGGGUAAAAAGUUGAAGCUAGGAAGCCUCCUUGGAAGACAGGAGACAAGAACGUGGUCUCCGAUAACAGGCCUGGCUGGGAGGGGAUGUCUUGGGUUUUCAGGGACUCCUGCUUGGCAGAAAAUGAAUGGCAGAGAAUGAAAGAUAUCUUGGGAAAGUGAUGGGAUGGGCCAGAUUCUGGCACUCUAGUAUGCUCUGUCUGGAGCUCUUGGGAUAGGGGGUCAGUACACAUUUCACUCUGAGUCAGCCCCAGGGUGUUUAGACAAGAUGCUCACAUCUGCUGGUCCCCUUGGAAGAGGGGUAGAUUCCUUAGUGGGUGGCUUAAACCGUUUGCCUCUUCUUGCAGCAGGUGUGGUGGGGUAGAGUCUUGGAUUCAGUAUGAGCCUCUGGGCACUGUCACUUAGGGAAGAUAAGAGUGAUGAGCAUAGACUCUUAUCUUUAUAGCUUUUCUGGUUUGAUUUAUAUGUUCCGUGUGUGUGUGUGUGUGUGUGUGUGUGUGUGUGUGUGUGUGUACAUGCACCUGCUUAGUGUAUGAAGAGUGUGCACUUGCACACACAGAGGUCACAUGGCCAGGCCUUAUAUGUAAUCUGUGUUUGCAAUGUGAUUAUGUACCUAUAGAGCAUUACAUAAAGUUGCAUUUUGUGUGUUGUUUAAAAUGGUGCAUAUACUAUGUAUGUGUGUAGAUAACGUUUUUGCUUUAUAUGUCAGGCUUAUUCUCACCUGUAUAGUUUUUACACAGAUGUUUGUAUAUAUUUACACACCUGUAUCACAGGCUGUAUCUCUCUGAGCUACUUAUGUUCCCAUUUCCUUGUCUUUGGGGUGGGUGGGUGGGAUUGUUUCAUUAGAUCAACAAGUGUUUACUGGGAGCUUACUAUGAGUUGAACAUGUGUCUGUAUAAUCUGUCUAUCUGUGGAGUGUAUCCGCAUCUGUGUUUUAUCAGCAACAGGAUUUUAAAAAAUAUAUGUAUAUCCCAGUUUCCUGAUUACUUAAAUACUUUAAACUUUAUACUGCAUAUCAUUGUCAGCUGCUCCCAAGUACCUCUUGAACAAAGCAGGAGAUAACUAGCCAUAUUUAAUUUAUGUACACCUGCCUAGUGUGGUUACAUUGGAGUAGAUAAAAUCCAUGCAUGCCAUGAUCUUGUUCAUCAUAUUGAAAUACAACUUGCUCCCAGGCCUCUGUUCCAUCUUUUUCUUUUUCUCCUAAGAGAACUAAGAAAACACCUCAAAUACCUCUACUUUUCCCUUCCUGCCCUCUCCCACCCAGGAAACAAGGGUAGGACAAAGUCCUACUGAUUUUGAGUCCAGGCAUUUGAGAAGAUUCUCUUUUCUUUUGCCUCUCCCUGGGCUGCUCUUUUCUAUCCUUCACAUAGGUCUCCCAAUCCCUCGAAAGAUAGAGACAAGGUUUUCUUUUCCCCAGGGAAACCAGAGGGAGUGCAAGAGAGAUCUUGCUUGAAGGGAAUCUUCUAUUUUAUGGGCUUGGAGAAUAAUGUUCCUUCGUUAAGAUAGCAUCUCAGCAGAAUGAGAGAGGCCUCUGCUCUUCCCCCAAAGAGCUGUUUUUUAUUUUUCCUUAAGGGGGUAGGGGUACAUUAAAUAAACCUGUUUUUAAAAAAGUACCUUUGCAUCAAGGAAAUGUGUUAUUAUUGUAAUUGUCUAAUGCUAAUUAUACUUAUUACUAUAAUAAGCAUUUUGUUGUAACAAAUGAUGUAAUCCUCUUUAUUUCUGUCGCCGCCAGAAGUGAGUGGUGUGUCUAUAAGGAGAGGGGGGAUUGGGGAGUAG